UACGAAGGGGGCUAGCGUUGCUCGGAAUCACUGGGCGUAAAGGGCGCGUAGGCGGGCUGUCAAGUUUGGGGUGAAAUCCCGCGGCUCAACCGUGGAACUGCCUCAAAUACUGACGGUCUCGAGGGAGGUAGGGGCGAGCGGAACUGAUGGUGGAGCGGUGAAAUGCGUUGAUAUCAUCAGGAACUCCGGUGGCGAAGGCGGCUCGCUGGACCUUUUCUGACGCUGAGGCGCGAAAAGCUAGGGGAGCAAACGGG
rnacentral:rRNA from 1 species